rnacentral:rRNA from 1 species
UUUGAUGGCGACCGGCGCACGGGUGAGUAACACGUAUCCAACCUGCCGAUGACUCGGGGAUAGCCUUUCGAAAGAAAGAUUAAUACCCGAUGGCAUAGUUCUUCCGCAUGGUGGAACUAUUAAAGAAUUUCGGUCAUCGAUGGGGAUGCGUUCCAUUAGGUUGUUGGCGGGGUAACGGGCCCACCAAGCCUUCGAUGGAUAGGGGUUCUGAGAGGAAGGUCCCCCACAUUGGAACUGAGACACGGUCCAAACUCCUACGGGAGGCAGCAUG